rnacentral:rRNA from 1 species
CCUACGGGAGGCAGCAGUGGGGAAUAUUGGACAAUGGGCGAAAGCCUGAUCCAGCAAUUCCGCGUGUGUGAAGAAAGCCUUCGGGUUGUAAAGCACUUUAGUGGGGGAAGAAACAGCUUGGCCACACCAAGCCUUGACGGUACCCCAAGAAUAAGCACCGGCUAACUCUGUGCCAGCAGCCGCGGUAAUACAGAGGGUGCAAGCGUUAAUCGGAUUUACUGGGCGUAAAGGGUGCGUAGGUGGCUAUUUAAGUCGGAUGUGAAAGCCCGGGGCUCAACCUCGGAAUUGCAUUCGAUACUGAGUGGCUAGAGUUCGGUAGAGGGCGGCGGAAUUUCCGGUGUAGCGGUGAAAUGCGUAGAUAUCGGAAGGAACAUCAAUGGCGAAGGCAGCCGCCUGGGCCUGGACUGACACUGAGGCACGAAAGCGUGGGUAGCAAACAGGAUUAGAUACCCUGGUAGUCCACGCCGUAAACGAUGAGAACUUGACGUUGGUUCGUUUUACGAAUCGGUGUCGCAGCUAACGCGAUAAGUUCUCCGCCUGGGGAGUACGGCCGCAAGGUUGAAACUCAAAUGAAUUGACGG